AGUUCAACGGCCGCGGUAUCCUGACCGUGCAAAGGUAGCGCAAUCACUUGUCCUUUAAAUAAGGACCUGUAUGAAUGGCUAAACGAGGGCUUAGCUGUCUCCCUUUUCCAGUCAGUGAAAUUGAUCUAUCCNUGCANAAGCGGGUAUAAAUAUACAAGACGAGAAGACCCUUUGGAGCUUAAGGUACAANAUUCACCCAUGUUAAACAAACCUUUAAAGCAAUAAACCUAANGGAAAAUGAAACCUUACCUUCGGUUGGGGCGACCACGGANAAAAACCCAGCCUCCGAGUGGAUUGGACAACCUCCAAAACCAAGACACACACUUCUAAGCAACANAACAUCUNACCAAAAAUGACCCGGCCACAUAAGCCGAUNAACGAACCAAGUUACCCAAGGGAUAACAGCGCANUCCUCUUCCANAGUCCAUAUCGACAAGGGGGUUUACNACCUCGAUGUUGGAUCAGGACAUCCUAAUGGUGCAGCCGCUAUUAAGG
rnacentral:rRNA from 1 species